rnacentral:rRNA from 1 species
GACAGAGGGUGCAAGCGUUGUUCGGAAUUACUGGGCGUAAAGCGCGUGUAGGCGGCCCUGCAAGUCGGAUGUGAAAUCCCACGGCUCAACCGUGGAAGUGCAUUCGAAACUGCAGGGCUAGAGUCCUGGAGAGGAAGGUGGAAUGCUUGGUGUAGAGGUGAAAUUCGUAGAUAUCAAGCGGAACACCGGUGGCGAAGGCGGCCUUCUGGACAGUGACUGACGCUGAGACGCGAAAGCGUGGGGAGCAAACAGG